UUAAUUUAGAGCUCUAGUUUCUAAGAUAAGAAAACAGACAUGUCAUUUGGGGGCAAGAAUAGAAACAAAGUAAACAGAAGAAACAACUUUUUGCAAACAUUCCUGGACAUACUUUCACAGUAUUUGAAAAACCUUUCUUUUUUGCUCAUCUUCUGACUACGCAGUGAACCAAAUUUUGUAAGUUAAAAAUAAAAGAAGUCUUACUGGCUAUUUGCCCUAAACGAAGAGACAUCUUUCCACCCCAAAGCAAGGGCAAAACUAAAAUCCCUAAAUGAAAAGAUGUCAUCUUCUCUUACCACUAUGGUCCCUAGUUAGGAAUUUGAUCACAAGUAAGGAUAACUUGGUGACGCCCAUGUUAUCAGACUCCUCUUGACUUCUCUCUCUUGCACACAUUGAAUGACUUACUGAUUUAUUUUCUCCACAUAAUCAAUGCUUGGCUUCUGUCUCGUGUGCAAUAGGUCUUUGGUAUCAUAUCUUCUUCCCGUUAUUUCAGAUAACUUUGAUGACUACUUAAAUUGUACUUCCCUGGCUAACUUCUCUUUCCUUUCCACUUUUGACUACCAGGGGACAAAUUUUAAUGUUUUACAAUGCAGGAUAUAAUUUUUACGUUCGGCCUAAUAGCUAGAUGAGCUUAGAAAUUUAGGAAAGGUGAAUUGGGCCACUUGGUACUUUUUCAUGUAAGGAAAACAAAUGACUUGUAUGCCUCGGUGUUGCUUCUGGAGGAACUUUCCAGAGCACAAAGCAGUCGGUACUAACUCUUGGUAUGAUGUGAGUCUCUCCAGUCCUGUGAUGUCAACGUGAUAUCUUGCCGGGCCUGAAGAAGUUCGGAUUAGGGUGUGAAUAGGUACCAUCUUUGUUCUUAGAUAUGACUGGUAGGGGCCUUGUUAUUGUUAAAUGCAAGGGUGAUUUUAGUGUUAAUUUGAAUGUAUCAGAAGAGUUUAAGUUAGAAUUCCAAAGAAAUGGAUGAAUCCUUCAAGUCUCAAUUCUCCUCUAUGGUAUGAAAGAAAUAGCCUCUUCUUUUAAAAGAUCCUAAAAUUAUCCCGAAUCACCAGAGCCCAAUGCUGAACAACACAGUCCAUAGUUACCACGAGGAAUAAGGUUAAAAUUCGCUCUCCGGUGACAAAUCCCAACCCGGAACAGAUUUCAGCCAGGCAGCUAGCAGAGCGCGCGGGGUGAACUGCAGAGGCCAUGGUGGGUGCAGAGCUCAGAGCCGGAAAGCAAACAGCUGCUGUAGCCUGAUUUGAGUUAAAAUAGUGUGAGUGUUUAGUCUGGCGCACGGUUUCAGGGGAGAUUGGCAGCUGGGUCAAACAAAGUCCUUCCAUUGGCUCUCUUCCCAGGCGGCUUCUGCUAGUAUUUAGGUACUAGUGCAGUGUAGGGCCCUUUUCUCAGGCAAACGCUAACAUCUGACCGCACCCUCUUUGCUUUUUCCAAAAAAAAAAAAAAAAAAAAAAAGGAAAAAAAAAGAAAAAAAAACAACCUUUUCCUUCUUUCGUUAAGAUAAAUUCUCCAAUAGACAACCUCUCCCACUAAUUGUGUAUUAGCAAUGUAUUUUAUCUUGAGAGCUGACGCACUGGGCUCUCAACGUGGUGUGGAAAGCAGCCUGUUACAGUGCUGGAUUCCUAAAAGGGCCUUUAUGGUUUGUGAAAGAGUAUCUGUGUGCUUAGGCAGGAAACUUUUUGAUCUGCAGAAAAGCCAGAAGACAUCUAGGGUAUCCUUGAAGAUUAAUAAGAGACGUAUUCACGCACCUAUAAAGGGAAAAACUUAAAAUGGAUAUGAGAAGUGAAGAAGGUGAUCAUAGGAGAAAAUCAUCUCAGAUCAACCACUUCAGAAGAACCAGAAUCUACUUCUGUGGCCAGGACUGUUAUGUUAUGGCUGGUCUGAUUGUUAUACCCUGCGUUCUAUGCUACUAAACCUUGGAUCAUUCCUAAAGUACCAAUUCUGUUCUUGAACCACAAACAAGGCUAAAAGAGCGGAGGAAAUUCAGUGAAUAUACAGGAUUGGGAUUGUGUAUUUUCAAAAGUAUUGAGCUUUAUAAUGCAAUUAUUUAAGAAAUAGAAUCUUUUUUUUUUUCUUCUCAUGUUGCCAGCAUUUUAAGUUACAUGUUUAUUGAGUGGCAUUGCUCAAAUAGCUACAGAGUAUGCAUGGAAAUAUUUGCUGUCUGAAUAGUUUGGAGAUUCAGAGAGAAAAAUCAAGCUUU